GUGCUCGCUUCAGCAGCACAUAUACUAAAAUUGGAACAAUACAGAGAUUAGCAGGACUUCUGGGAAGAAUAUACUGUCAUUUUGGAAACUAUAACUUCUCUU